rnacentral:tRNA from 1 species
GGGCUUGUAGUCUAGCGGCUAUGACAUCGCCUCGACAUGGCGGGAAUCUCCGGUUCGAGUCCGGACAGGCCCA